GCAAAGUACGGGGCAGGGGGGGCGGUAAGACGGAGGUGGGAAGCGGUAGCCGGAAGUAAUGGGUGGAAAGGGAGCGAAGGCGGGAUAGCAGGUCAGCUGUGAAAACUAUGGGCUCAACCCAUAAACUGCAGUGGAAACUGUUAUUCUUGAGUGGAGUAGAGGCAAGCGGAAUUCCGAGUGUAGCGGUGAAAUGCGUAGAUAUCACGAAGAACUCCGAUUGCGAAGGCAGCGUGCCGGAGUGCAACUGACGCUGAAGCUCGAAAGUGCGGGUAUCGAACAGGAUUAGAUACCCUAGUAGUC
rnacentral:rRNA from 1 species